rnacentral:lncRNA from 1 species
GCUCAGAGCACAAGAACCGCUAACACUUCGUUUUGGAGGGUUUGGAGUGAUGUCCAUUGAAUCUAUGAUUGCGAUUUUGAAGGCCACUUAUUCUUACGUGAUGCUGAUGAUCUAAGAAUGCAACAAACAAUAAGCUUUAUUAUUAAGUGAAACCUUGCACUUGAAUUACUCUACGUAAAACGAAAACAUCUGGUUUAAUAAAAACUGCAAUUUUU